CCUACGGGUGGCAGCAGUGGGGAAUAUUGGGCAAUGGGCGCAAGCCUGACCCAGCAACGCCGCGUGAAGGAAGAAGGCUUUCGGGUUGUAAACUUCUUUUCUCAGGGACGAAGAAAGUGACGGUACCUGAGGAAUAAGCCACGGCUAACUCGGUGCCCGCAGCCGCUGUAAUACGGAGGGUGCGGGCGUUAAUCGGAAUUACUGGGCGUAAGGCGCUCGGAGGCGGUAUGUCAAGUCAAGGGUGAAAUCCCCGCGCUCAACGUGGGAACUGCCUUUGAAACUGGCAAACUGGAGUGUGUGAGAGGAUAGUGGAAUUCCAGGUGUAGGAGUGAAAUCCGUAGAUAUCUGGAGGAACAUCAGGGGCGAAGGCGACUAUCUGGAACAUAACUGACGCUGAGGAGCGAAAGCGUGGGUAGCAAACAGGAUUAGAUACCCUGGUAGUC
rnacentral:rRNA from 1 species